AUGGCUGAAGAGUCCAAUUAGAUUGUAACUCUGGUGAGGAGUCCCAUUGAGACUGGAACUCUGGAGGAGAGUCCUACUGGACUUGGACUCUACUAUUAAUAGAGAAUUAAUUAAUAAUUAGAUUACUAAUUGAUUUAAUUUGAUUGAACAAAGAGCUUUAGAUCAAAUCUAAUUGAAUUAGAUUCAAUUCAAUUUAGAUUGGGUUUGAUAUUAUCAAGCUUGAGUACAAGAAAAAUUUGAUCUUGAUUCGAUCAGGACUUGGGCUCAGCUAAUU
rnacentral:lncRNA from 1 species